rnacentral:rRNA from 1 species
UACGGGGGGAGCAAGCGUUGUUCGGAUUUACUGGGCGUAAAGGGCGCGUAGGCGGUCAGCACAAGUCAGUUGUGAAAUCUCCGGGCUUAACUCGGAAAGGUCAACUGAUACUGUGGGGCUAGAGUGCGGAAGGGGCAACUGGAAUUCUCGGUGUAGCGGUGAAAUGCGUAGAUAUCGAGAGGAACACCUGCGGCGAAGGCGGGUUGCUGGGCCGACACUGACGCUGAGGCGCGAAAGCCAGGGGAGCGAACGGG